rnacentral:rRNA from 1 species
GGGUUGUGAGGUUAAGCGACUAAGCGUACACGGUGGAUGCCCUGGCAGUCAGAGGCGAUGAAGGGCGUGCUAAUCUGCGAUAAGCGCCGGUAAGGUGAUAUGAACCGUUAUAACCGGCGAUACCCGAAUGGGGAAACCCAGUGUGACUCGUCACACUAUCAUUAACUGAAUCCAUAGGUUAAUGAGGCGAACCGGGGGAACUGAAACAUCUAAGUACCCCGAGGAAAAGAAAUCAACCGAGAUUCCCCCAGUAGCGGCGAGCGAACGGGGAGGAGCCCAGAGCCUGAAUCAGCAUGUGUGUUAGUGGAAGCGUCUGGAAAGGCGCGCGAUACAGGGUGACAGCCCCGUACACAAAAGCGCAUGUGCUGUGAGCUCGAUGAGUAGGGCGGGACACGUGGUAUCCUGUCUGAAUAUGGGGGGACCAUCCUCCAAGGCUAAAUACUCCUGACUGACCGAUAGUGAACCAGUACCGUGAGGGAAAGGCGAAAAGAACCCCGGCGAGGGGAGUGAAAAAGAACCUGAAACCGUGUACGUACAAGCAGUGGGAGCACCCUUCGGGGUGUGACUGCGUACCUUUUGUAUAAUGGGUCAGCGACUUAUAUUCUGUAGCAAGGUUAACCGAAUAGGGGAGCCGGAGGGAAACCGAGUCUUAAUUGGGCGUUAAGUUGCAGGGUAUAGACCCG